rnacentral:lncRNA from 1 species
UCUUAGUUUUUAUCAAACAAAAUGCAUCCAUACAUGCAUUCAUACAUUUUCAAAAAAAAUAGAGUCUCAUUCCGCCCUUUCUUCCUCCAGUUUCACGCUGAAUUUUCAACACCAGUAUAAUACUCGCGCCAGAGCAAGACAGAGAAUGGCUGAACAAGAACAAGAGAGCGCCCGAGUUAGAGUUGAACUAGACGAAAUCAAGGGAGGCAUAUCCCAGAUGCGAGAGAUGCUGCAAUCUUUAACCUUCAGGUUUGAGGUUCCAC